rnacentral:ncRNA from 1 species
GAUCCCACCUCGGGGUGCCCAGUUGGGCUGAGAUGCGCUUGCGCGAACCCGUCGAACCUGAACCGGUUAAGACCGGCGGAGGGAAGGUGCCGGGCUCUCCC